UAGGGAAUUUUCGGCAAUGGGGGAAACCCUGACCGAGCAACGCCGCGUGGGGGAAGAAGGCCUUCGGGUCGUAAACCUCUGUCUUUGGGGACGAUAAUGACGGUACCCGAGGAGGAAGCCCCGGCUAACUACGUGCCAGCAGCCGCGGUAAUACGUAGGGGGCGAGCGUUGUCCGGAAUCACUGGGCGUAAAGGGCGUGUAGGCGGCCUGUUAAGUCAGGCGUGAAAACCCCGGGCUUAACCUGGGGACUGCGCUUGAAACUGGCGGGCUUGAGGGCAGGAGAGGAAAGUGGAAUUCCCGGUGUAGCGGUGAUAUGCGUAGAUACCGGGAGGAACACCAGUGGCGAAGGCGGCUUUCUGGACUGCACCUGACGCUGAGGCGCGAAAGCCAGGGGAGCGAA
rnacentral:rRNA from 1 species